CAGAGAGAAAUACAGUGAGGAUUCGGUUCUAAGUGCGUUACGAAUUUUAACGACGAUGAAGCGUCUAUCCUCCUGGCUACUGCGUCGCUUCAUAGACGCGUGGAUAUGAAAAGGUGUCAUGUUUCCAGAGUUUCACGCUCAACCCUCUGGGGAUCUGCAAACCACUUAGUUGUUUCCUAUCGAAAGCUGUUUUAACAUUUAUCGUGGCAAUUAUCAGUUUAUUAGCUAUCCCAACACUACUUUCUAUUCAUUAAAAUACUCGCCGAAUCAAGAAGAGAAGCGAGAAAACAUACAAUUUAACACCAGGCACAGCUUCUAACAGGAUCUUUGCGCAACGAACAAGAGCAAAUAUAGUUGGAUCUAAACGUGGUCGGAAUUCAUGAACCCUGCUAAUUAUGUUUGACUUGCGAAUUCGAGAUAAAUUCAUGAAAUGGCACAGAGAAAGAAGAUCGUGUGAGAAAUUAUGAUGAUGGUGUUCUUCGUGUUAUUUCACAUUGUUGUGUCACCUUAGAGAGUUUCAAAAUAAAUAGUAAAAGGAAGAACAAA